CACAGAACUCAAGGAAACAUUUUCUCGUACUUACUAGAUAGUAACUCAGGAACACACCACAUGGAAGAAAUGCGCAGGUCAAGUUACGUGUGAAGGGGUGCAGAGCCUCCAGCCUCUCUGAGUCAUCGCCCUCCCCAUAUCGCCAUAUGUUCACCAUGGAAGCUGUCAACCCCGUUCUUUUGGAUUUUUCAAGAGGUUUCUUUACAUAGGCAUGAUUGAUCAAAGCACUGGCCAUUGGCAGUUGGUUCAACCUCCAAUCCCUCUCCCCUCCCCAGAGGUCUGGGGUGGGACUGAAAGUUCUAACCCUCUAAACACUUGACUGACUCCACUGGCAACCAGCCCUUGUCCUUAAGUCAUCCCACUAACAUAACAAAAGACAUCUUUAUCACUCUAAUCCUUAGGAGAUUCCAAGGGCUUUGUGAUCUGUGAGCCAGGAAGUUCGGGUGAAGAACAAAUAUAGACGUGAAAUAUAUUCUCCUCAUCUGAAUGACCAAAUACAUAUUUUUUCUUAGAAGUCGUAAUAUCACAAUAUGAGUUAAAGCUGUUGCAGGAUACAAAUGAGAUUUGCUCCCAAUUACUUAAUUCUCCUCUGCCCAACCAUUUCCAAGGAAACUGAAUAUAUGUGUUAAUCUGUAAUCAUGGAACAUUACCAGUUCUAUUCAAAUUUUAAUGCACACCCACCAAAUUUUCACCGUUUGAGAUGACUCAUUUUCUCUAUACUUUCCUGCUGAGGUUGUAUAAUUAAGACAAUAAUAAAUCAUCCUAAUUAAAUGUUGGAAACUUAGCACAAUCCAGGCAGGUGUGUGUAAGACCCUUUCAUGUUCUAACUUCAGAAACAGAGGGAUAUAGCUCUUCCCUGAUCGGGGUCAAAAAUGUAUGGCUCCUACAUGCACUUGGGUGAUGAGCAAACAGCAUUCAACUAGUAGUACCACAAAUCAAAUUCAGCUUCUAACUAGCUGUGUUCUAGAACCCCAAGAAAUUCAUUUGGCCUCUCCAGGAUCUAUGAUCUCAUAGGUCAAUGGGGGGCUGUUAUCAUGGCGCCCAUCUGUCUUCAUAACCUAAGGAAAACUAUGGAAUAUCAUGAGAAACAUGCUCAUAGCCAUAAAGUUUGCUAGUCAGUUUUAGGGAUUCAUGUGUCUAAGACUGUCUGCACCAGAAGAUAAAAUUCCUUCUUCCUCUUGCAUUCUAUGAUGUUAAGACUUAGUAGCUGAUAAUGAGGAAGACUUCGUUCAUCUUCUUAGUCUAUUCACAGGGCUAGUGGCUGAGGAUGAGGAAUGGCAAAUGGCUUGUAUAGCUAUCUUGUAUCCAUGGCAACUUUGAAUACUCUCAACCAGUCUGUGAAAAGAAUACUUAAGAUAUCUACAAGAGAUGAAAAUGUGGUUAUUACUGGUUCAGUGAAUUUAAUUAGUUUGACUACCUUUUGCACAAUAUGAAAUUUUUCUGGAGCCUACAAUGAAAUAAUUGAGAAGAAAGUCCUUUGGAAGCUAGAAAGUGCUAUCUAUACUACUCCUUCUUAAUUUUUAUAACAUAGAUUUAUAUACUAUAAAGAGCAAAAAAAAAAAAUCAAUGGCAAUAUGCUUACAUCCCCAGUUUUGACCAAACUCAUUAACUAACCUGCUGGGUCUAUAGAAGAACAAUCUGGUAUAGCUAAAAGUUUAUCAACCUAAAUAAAGAGGUAAACUGAGGCAAGCUCAAAUUACCAGAAAUUGAGUUUAUUUGGGAACAGCAGAGGAACUGCAAUUCCAUAAAUGCGUGACGUUGCAGGCUACAGGCGAGUCUGCUGAGGGUUUGGAGCAGGCUGUAUUUAUAGGCAAGUUGUGCAAAGAGGGGGAUGUCCAGCCAGAGUCCAAGCAGUGAGUUCCAUGGCUUGCGAAUGGGAAAAGAUUCUUGGCAGUUGCUCAUUGGUCAGGGGAUAAGUCUUGGUCUUCUGUACAUCAGACAUUUCUGAGAAAUCAGUCUCUAGGUUCUUAAGUUCUGUUCUUCCAGGAGGUGCGCGUGCGACAUUCUCCGUUUCAUAUAAUCAGGUUCCACUUUAGAUUGAAGUCCUUUUACAAGUUACCAGGAAUUUUUGAAGAAAUCAAAUAUUGGCACAAUAUGAUCUGUCUACCUUUUCCCUGUCUUACUUACCUUCUUUACUUACCUUCCUUACCUUCAACUUACCUUCCUUAAACAUCUCUUGACCGCCCAACAUGUCAGACACCGACCUGAGAGCUAGGUACAGAGCAGGUGUCCUUUAAUUCCAUAGUUAGCCUGAGUUAACCUAUAGAUUUGCUGUCAAAAGGUCUAACCUGGGCAGUUGCAUCUAGUUCACCCUGUAGGUACACCGUGCAGCCCAUUCUACAAACAUUGACCAGGUGCCUGCUUCCUGCCAGCUACUGUAUCACAUGCAUGUGGACUUUGUCUUCAAGCAGUUCAUGUUGUUUUGGAGGGAGCCUGACACGCAAGCUAACAAUCACGAUAAGAUACAGCGACCACAUGUCCCAUCUGUAAAGGAGUCAGACUUGAAACCCUUCUCGUGUGAAAAUCUGGAAGCUGCAAACAGCCCAUUUUACACCUGAGUACCCCACCCAUAGGUUGCUGAGGCAACUCUGCUGCUUACAUGUGGAGAAAAAACUGACUCAGAGCUUGAACGGUUUGAAGUGUGCGAGAACCAUGAGAUACAGGUGAAUAUUCAGGAGGGAGCCCAUGGCCUGGAGAGGACGCUGGUGACCAGGGAAGAGCAGAAGAGUGAAAUCUGCUGCCAUUUGCCAUGGCAGACUGCCAUGGGCACAGUGGCUAACUCUGCAGGAGUAAUCUGACUUCAAACAACGGAAAAGUCAGUGCUGGGCGUUCUUGGUUCCAGUGGGAAAUAGUUUUAAUAAGGUUCUGGGACAUCUCCUAGAGAAAGGAAAUGUCCAGUGAUUACUCAGAACUAUGUUAAUUGUGGAUGUAUCAAAGAUUACUGAACGCCCUUUGCAAUAUUUUCCUGAGGCAGAUGGAGAAUAAACACCUUCAUUACGGGUGCUCAGAUGAUCCACUGUGCUGAAUUACAUUGAGAAGCACCUGGUACGUUUCUUGAUCUACCCGUGCACUCACGUACCCUGCUGUAACGUCAGGAUUGCCCUAAGUGGGUACCUAUCUCCUACGAAAUACCAAGUGCGUUUUCCACAGCCUUUCAGAACCUCUGAUAGUGCUACCCAAACAAAUCCUGGAGUAACGAGGCAGUUCUAAUGUAAAUGUUUAAUAGAGGCAAGGGAUUCUCAUCUGAUUACUUUGCUGCUGCAGAGAAAGAGGAUCUAAUUUAACAUUAAGUCUGUAAUUAGUGAAUAGUGCUCUUUUGCCUGGGUAAACGAAAUCCCUUGCAUUUUGAUAAUGACUUGCAUUCAGAAUUGAAAUUAAACUAAGCUAAAAAAAAUCAUAACUUUACCUUAGGGUAGCACACUAAGUCAAUGCCAUAUAGACUGUUUACAAAAGUAAAUCUAAAGCACAAUGUUCUGGAGUUGACUUUACUAGGGAAGCUGCAACCUUUAUCUAUUUUUAUUUGUUUACAUUGGGAUCUCGUAUUCCUUCUGCCUUAUUUGUUUAUUUACUUACUUAUUUUUGGUUGCUGAUUUCUUUAAGUGACCCUGUGGAAAAUGUGGGUAGAUACUACAGUCAUGUAUUUUAUUAUCUUAAGAGAACAGUGCUGUAAAUAAUACAAAUAGGCAUUGAUAUUCAUAUUCACGUGGGCUCCUUCAUGUGGAACAAAAAGGCCCUCCAUCUUUUACUUUUCAAGUAGAAGUCGUUUGGCCAGAUUAGUGUCUGCAAGUUCCUGGGCAUUUAUUCCCUGGUGUUGCUGUAAGGUUUUUACUGAUGACCAGAGUUGCUCAAUCCUCAUUUAAUGGGGGCUGCAGACUGAGGGCUGAGCAGAACCCGCUGUCCCGUUCUGUAGUUACUGGUAAAGACAGACCUAGGGUAUCACCAUGGGAGGGACUGGAUGCGACCCAGUGGGUGGGUGUGGUCGCCGUGGACGGAAGAUCAAAAGGCUGAGAGACCAGGGGGUUAUAAAUGGAAAUUUCCGAGAAUUAAGUCAGGAGAGAAUCUCAAUCCUAAGGGAGGAUGAUAGUGAUGUAGGAACUAGAGACACUGAGAUGUGUAGGGUAAAGAAGGGUCCAGCAGUGACAGCAACAAUGAAGAGUUACAAGUGUUAUCCUCUUAUGACAUGAUCUUCAAAGCUGGCAGGUUUCGGAGAAAAGAGAAGGAGAAUGGUCUAAAAGUGGAAAGGAGGAAGAAGAAAGGGCUAUGAGGUCUACAGGAGAAGAGCCCUUUUCCACUUGUAAUCUCUGCUGGAAGAGGAGGUGUGUGUCGUUUGUCUCGACCCUUAUGGAUGGAAGAGAAACUUCGGGGGAAGCCUGACAUAUUCCAUACAACCAGACCUUUGCAGUCCUGAUGACACGGAUAGAAGUCUUAUGUAGGCAAGGCCUUGUUCCAGUGCUCUGGUCCAUUUAACACUGGGAUAUUACACUCUAGUGCCAGAAUGGUCCAGAAUUUGAGUUUUUUGUUUUUCAUUGUUUUUUUUUUUUUUUAAUUUGCAGGGACAUAAAAUAUUUAAUGGAUGAAGAAUCUAAGAAAACUUCAAGUUCAACUCCUCAGUUUCACAAGACAGAAAACUGAGGCUGAGGAGGUUUGAGAGCCUCUGCUGAGUUUUUUUCUAACGAUAAUGAGGAUUAUAACUCCGAUACUCUGACAUCUAAGUACCAACCACACUGUGCUGACGCUUAGAUGUUCAGAGUUUUAAUUAGAAAACAAAACAAAACAAAUCUUUCCCGCUCAGAAAAUAUACAGAUUCUUUACUGCUCAAAUUAAAAGUUUUCUUUUAAAACUUGUGUCUUGAGAACAGGAAUAAAGAGUUUGCUGUGAUUCAAGAAUUUUUUCACAACAUAGGAAAAGCCAUUCAUCCCAUGGACAACAUUAGCAUGUGUCUAAGAGGAUAUUCUUCCAAGGCACAGAGGCUGAGAGCAGAGUGUGAAGUUGAGGUUUCUAUGGAGACUGUACCUUAACAAGGUCUUUUAAAUUGCUGAGGGUAAAAGUAAAACCUCUCUUUCAAUAUCCCUGGAGGUAUAAAACACAUUAGGCAGUCAGGACUCCUGCAUUUUACAUCUGUCUCUUCAGUCGAUGGUUUUUGAACUCUCCUUUGAGGACCUCUUUCUUGGGUGACUUGGAGCUGUAGACCAUCUAUUCAGAACAAUGGAUAGCCCUUAACUGGCAUACUAUUAUACACCUGAUGCAUCGGGAUGGUUAUAUGGUUAAUGCUUUCAUGUUAGGAUGUUACAAUGCUUUCUUUGAAGAUACUGUAGUUUAAACUUAUCUGCUCCUUUGCGGGAGGGAUGCAAACAUAUGGCGGUAAAGAGGGAUAUAGGUUAUUCAAGAAUAUAAGGAUUAUAAAGAAUCAGGUGGAAAUAUUUAUGUAUGCUACACUUUAUUUUUUGUUGUUUUUUUAAAAAAUGUUUAUCUGAGAGAGAGAGAGAGAGAGAGAGAG